rnacentral:rRNA from 1 species
AUGAAUAAAAAAGGAACAGUUCGAGUAGUAUCUACAAAUAUUACCGAAAACAUACAAAUAUUACCGAAAACAUUGUUAAAAUACUUCUACGAGAGGAUCUUAUUGAAAGUGUUCGGAAACAUCAGGAACGUAACAGAUAUUUCUUGGUUUCAAUUUUGCGACAUUAAAAGAGAAAGAGUAGAAAAGGAAUAUAUAGAGCAAGAACCUUUUUAA